rnacentral:rRNA from 1 species
GAUGAACGCUGACAGAAUGCUUAACACAUGCAAGUCGAUGGGGAAGUGGUGCUUGCACCAUGGUAACCAUGGCGGACGGGUGAGUAACGCGUAAGGAACUUACCUGCGGGACCGGGAUAACAGCAGGAAACUGCUGACAAGACCGGAUAAGGUCAUUAAGCUGCAUAGCUUAGUGAUGAAAGGAGACGCCUGCGGAGAGCCUUGCGUCCUAUUAGCUAGUUGGAGGGGUAACGGCCCACCAAGGCGAAGAUAGGUAGCCGGCCUGAGAGGGUGGACGGCCACAAGGGGACUGAGAUACGGCCCUUACUCCUACGGGAGGCAGCAGUGGGGAAUAUUGGACGAUGGGGGCAACCCUGAUCCAGCAAUUCUGUGUGCACGAAGACGGUUUUCGGAUUGUAAAGUGCUUUCAGCAGGGAAGAAGGAAGUGACGGUACCUGCAGAAGAAGCGACGGCUAAAUACGUG